rnacentral:rRNA from 1 species
GUGGGGAAUAUUGGACAAUGGGGGGAACCCUGAUCCAGCCAUGCCGCGUGUGUGAAGAAGGCCUUUUGGUUGUAAAGCACUUUAAGCGAGGAGGAGGCUACCGAGAUUAAUACUCUUGGAUAGUGGACGUUACUCGCAGAAUAAGCACCGGCUAACUCUGUGCCAGCAGCCGCGGUAAUACAGAGGGUGCAAGCGUUAAUCGGAUUUACUGGGCGUAAAGCGCGCGUAGGUGGCCAAUUAAGUCAAAUGUGAAAUCCCCGAGCUUAACUUGGGAAUUGCAUUCGAUACUGGUUAGCUAGAGUAUGGGAGAGGAUGGUAGAAUUCCAGGUGUAGCGGUGAAAUGCGUAGAGAUCUGGAGGAAUACCGAUGGCGAAGGCAGCCAUCUGGCCUAAUACUGACACUGAGGUGCGAAAGCAUGGGGAGCAAACAGGAUUAGAAACCCCUGUAGUCC